AACGCACAUUGCGCCCUCUGGUAUUCCAGAGGGCAUGCCUGUUUGAGCGUCAUUUCUCUCUCAAACCUUCGGGUUUGGUAUUGAGUGAUACUCUUAGUCGAACUAGGCGUUUGCUUGAAAUGUAUUGGCAUGAGUGGUACUGGAUAGUGCUAUAUGACUUUCAAUGUAUUAGGUUUAUCCAACUCGUUGAAUAGUUUAAUGGUAUAUUUCCUGGUAUUCUAGGCUCGGCCUUACAAUACAACAAACAAGUUUGACCUCAAAUCAGGUAGGACUACCCGCUGAACUUAA
rnacentral:misc_RNA from 1 species